UCUGGAAGUAACCCCAGGUGAUCUGUCCAGGCUCUGAAGUUGUGAAAGAGAAGACUGAAAACCCGGAGCUGAGUGACUUCCUUAAGGUGAGGAAAGAGAAGUAAUAUACUCUGUGUUCCUGGGGAACUAAGAGGUGGAACUGAACCCAGGCAACCUGAUCUUACAAUAAAUCUGUGCUCCUAACACUACUCAAAGAAGGCAACCAGCAGGAUUUGAUUUUCAUUUGUAUGAGAGGAAGAAGACACAUGAUACGAGUUGGCUCAUGUGCCUGAAUAUGGCCCCACAGGGAAGAUU